ACGAAGACAUGGUUCUGCCAACAGGCCUUGGGAUCUCAGAAUGAUACUGAGCCCAUCAAGUUGCUGAUUUGAUUGCUGUCACCAAGCAGGCUUCCACUCCUGGUGAUCCAGUGUGCAGGAAGACAACUAUAGGUAGCCCUGAGGGAAUUAAGAGCAGACAAAAAGAAAUGACCAAGGGCCCAGAAAAUGCAUUGAAGACCUCAAGAAAGUGAUAAGAGUGUAUUUUCAUUCUGUUUGGAAUGUAAAGUGAGAGUAAGAAUGGUUUUGCUGGUCUGGAACUAGUACCAGAAGACAAUAUAUAAUAAAACUUGUAGUUUGAGUGAAACAUCAAUUAGAUGCAGCUUUUGGAGGCUCUUGUUGGUCAGUUGGGCCCACAGGAGAAGAGGGACAAUGUCAAGUAGCAACUGCUUAAAUGUUGUUGUUUUUUUUAAAUAUGUGAAGCAAGGUCAGCCAGGGAGACUGUACAAUGAAGAGAUCAGUACCAGAAAACUAGUAUGUUCUGCCACCUCAUAAUAAUAUGAAUUCAGAAGAAAACCAAAAAGAGAAAUUAAAUUCUUUUGAAAUGUAAAGGACAGAAAACUGGAGAAGUUUUAGACUGCUAGAGUGGAUUGUGUGGUUAAAGAGAGCACAUCCACUUUCACCCCUUUAUCACUUUGUAGCUAAGGUAAAGACAAGAAUACACUCUGAUUUGUGAGAACUUUACACUCCACACAAAAUCAAAUUGGAGACAAAUAACUGAAAUAAAUGCUUUUGUCACAGUA